rnacentral:rRNA from 1 species
GACGAACGCUGGCGGCGUGCUUAACACAUGCAAGUCGAACGGAAAGGCGCUGCUUGCAGGGUACUCGCGUGGCGAACGGGUGCGUAACACGUGGGUGAUCUGCCCUGCACUUCGGGAUAAGCCUGGGAAACUGGGUCUAAUACCGGAUAGGAGCCAUUUUUAGUGUGAUGGUUGGAAAGUUUUUUCGGUGUAUGAUGAGCUCGCGGCCUAUCAGCUUGUUGGUGGGGUAAUGGCCUACCAAGGCGGCGACGGGUAGCCGGCCUGAGAGGGUGGACGGCGACAUUGGGACUGAGAUACGGCCCAGACUCCGACGGGAGGCAGCAGGGGGGAAUAUUGCACGAUGGGCGCAAGCCUGAUGCAGCGACGCCGCGUGUGGGAUGACGGCCUUCGGGUUGUAAACUCCUUUCGCUAGGGACGAAGCUUUUUUUGACGGUACCUAGAUAAGAAGCACCGGCUAACUACGUG